rnacentral:rRNA from 1 species
CCUACGGGAGGCAGCAGUGGGGAAUAUUGCACAAUGGGGGAAACCCUGAUGCAGCGACGCCGCGUGAGUGAAGAAGGAAUUCGUGAUGUAAAGUUCUAUCAGUAGGGAAGAAAAUGACGGUACCUGAAUAAGCAGCCCCGGCUAACUACGUGCCAGCAGCCGCGGUAAUACGUAGGGGGCAAGCGUUAUCCGGAUUUACUGGGUGUAAAGGGAGCGUAGACGGCAGUGCAAGUCUGGAGUGAAAGGCGGGGGCUCAACCCCGGGAGUGCUUUGGAAACUGUACGGCGGGAGUGCAGGAGAGGUAAGUGGAAUGCCUAGUGUAGCGGUGAAAUGCGUAGAUAUUAGGAGGAACACCAGUGGCGAAGGCGGCUUACUGGACUGUAACUGACGUUGAGGCUCGAAAGCGUGGGGAGCAAACAGGAUUAGAUACCCGAGUAGUC